UAAAUAAUUUAUUCGAAACAUGCACGGGAAAUCUUACAUAUAUAAAGUGCAUGAUUACUUUGUCGGAAAAUACGGUUACAGGUACACCACAUCCUCGGCCCGUGCUCCGGUGAGAGAGAGAGAGAGAGAGAGAUUAGUCACAAGAGAAAAAAAAAUGAUAAAGGGAUCGUCUUGAAAACUGAGGCAAAACUUCGACAAACAGUAACUUCAUUUUCACGUCAUUCUCUUUUUGAACAUUUUUGACAUGAUUUAUCACUCACUCACUCACUCACUCACUCACUCAGACUUUCUCUUCGACCAAUCACUCAAUUUUUCAAAACUCAUCUUAAAAUUAAUUGAGAAAAGCUUACAGAUAACUUCAUUCUCUCAUCUUUCUCCUACAUUAUACAUUUCUUGGCAUUUGUUCCUUCACUCCUCCCUCACUCACUCACACACACAUUCACUCACUCACGCUUUUCUCUUCAAUCCACGUAACUCUUUUUCUCUCCACAUUCCUUUUCGUAUUUACAUACUUCAAACACUCCCACACUUCAUAUCAUUCCUCCAGUAUUUAUUCUCUCUCCUUCCUCUUCUCUCCUUCUCUUCCUUACACACACACACACACACACACACACACACACACACAUAUCCACUCACAUCCACUUACUGAUACUCUCUCUCUCUCUCUCUCUCUCUCUCUCUCUCUCUCUCUCUCUCUCUCAUCCACCUGACCCGAGAGAGCCAUUGUUAAGUUCGGUAUCGGAAAUAAAUAACUCAAUCCUCCUGGUAUCGGUUCGGAUCCCACAAAUGGCCGACCCGAUCCUCCUCUCCUCAGAUUAAUCCCCUGUUGAGCGCAGCAACGGUGGGAUCAUAAACCUGUGAAUCCUUGAAACGCUGAGCCGCUACUGAACCACUCGCAGUCUCUCUCUCUCUCUCUCUCUCUCUCUCACCUAAGGGCGUCUUUUUUUCUCUAUCCAUUCACUGUUAAGUCACACGAAUUUACAUUUUGCACAAUUUCUUUUUCUGCUUUAUUUUUCAGUCAGUCAAAUUGUUCUCUCUUUACCAUUUUCUUAUUUCUCAUUAUAUUUCUUUCUGCCAUCUCAUUUUUUAUUCUCAACUGUAUCCUUUCUAAUCCCUCGUCGCUUUUCGUUAAUAUCGUUUAUCAAUCAUUAUUAUCUACAUUUCUUUCCUUCGUUUUCUAUGUAUUUUCGACUAUGGAUUAUUACAUAUCUACCUUGUAUGUUUUGUUUUUUUUGUAUGAUAGUUCUGCUUCUUUAUAUCUUCAUUCUGUCCUGUCAGACUUCCAUCAUUUCUGUUUGUUUUACUUUAUCCCGGUCACCUCUUUUUUCACUGCGUCAAGUUUCAUGUCUUUAUCUUCAUCACUGUUCUUGGUAUGCACUGUCUGAGCUCAAGUACCCGUUAUUCACUGUCUGGUAACUGGGCCUCAUCUUCAUUUUCCUUCCACUGUUAUCACGUUCACUUUCAUCAACUGUUUGCUCUCCGUUCAGUGUUUUUGGUUUGCAAUUUACUGUUUUGAUUUUCUGUUCUUCAAUCACUGUUCUGUGUUCACUCCUUGUCCACUGUUCUUCGUUCAUUGUUCUUUACUAUUUCUUUCGCUGUUGUUCAUUUGCCACCUCCAUCAGUUCGUCCUACACCGUUUCCUUCACUUUUUUUUUACUUAACUAACUUAUGCUCACUUGUUAUCCACUGUUUUCUUCCUGUUCACUGUUUUAUUCACCGUUUUCCAUGUAUCAUCUAUUUCAGUUUUUCAUUCACUGCCUUUCCUUCCCUGUUCCUACUUUACUCUUCUAUCUUCACUUCUUUCAGACUCUCUGUUCACUGCUCUCCACUCUUGUAACCCAUCCAUGGUUCUCCCUUACCUCCUUUCCUUAUUAUUAAACCUUCUAUUCACUGCUCUUCCCUUGCUUUUUUCCUCUCUGUUCCUGCUUCACAACAUCAGCUUAAUAUUUUUUGUAGGGGUCACACUUCUAAUGAGUUUUUUGCUGCAUCAUUCCAACGAUUAAAUAAAGAAACAUAAUCACUGCAAAUCCUAUGUGUAAGCAACAAGAGAGGCAGUCUAUUGCGUCACUAGUUGUCGUAAAAGUUGUUGUAAUUGUGUUUCCUCUCCUAACUUUGCACACACUUUGAUGUUAGCCUUUUUCUCUCUCCCUUUGGCCCUUUGAAGACAAGGUUGUGCGUCAAAAUAUUUUCGUGUAGUGUGUUUUAAAUUACACACACACACACACACACACACACACACACACACACACACACACACACACACACACACACACACACACACACACACACACACACUCA